rnacentral:RNase_P_RNA from 1 species
AAAGCAGGACAGGUGGCCGCCGCCUGCUUGCAGGGGGAGGAAAGUCCGGGCUCCACAGGGCAUGGUGCUGGAUAACGUCCAGCGGGGGUGACCCCAGGGAAAGUGCCACAGAGAGAAGUCCGCCCGCUUUGGCGGGUAAGGGUGAAAGGGUGAGGUAAGAGCUCACCGGGUUCGACGGUGACGUCGGAUGCCAGGUAAACCCCACCAGGAGCAAGGCCGAAUAGGGAAGCGCCAAGGACGGCCCGUCCGUGCUUCCGGGUUGGCUGCUUGAGGCCGUUGGCAACGACGGUCCUAGAUGAAUGGCCAUCGCUUUUUUGCAGGUAACUGCAAGGGAGAACAGAACCCGGCUUACGUGCUGCUUUGACC